GGUCUGAGAGGAAGAUCCACCACACUGGGACUGAAACACAGACCAGACUCAUACGGGAGGCAGCAGUGGGGAAUAUUGAACAAUGGGCGGGAGCCUGAUCCAGCCAUGCCGCGUGCGUGAAUAAGGACUUAUGGUUGUAUAUCACUUUAAUCGAGGAGGAGGCAACUUUAGUUAAUACCUAAAGAUAGUGAACGUUACUCUCCGAAUAAAAACCGGCUAAUUCUGUGCCAGCAGCCGCGGUAAUACAAAGGGUGCAGGCGUUAAUCGGAUUUACUGGGCGUAAAGCGCGCAUAGGCGGCUAAUUAAGUCAAAUGUGAGAUCCCCCCGCUUAACUUGGGGAAUUGCAUUCGAUACUGGUUAGCUAGCGUGUCUGAGAGGAUGGUAGAAUUCCAGGUGUAGCGGUGAGAUGCGCAGAGAUCUGGAGGAAUACAGAUGGCGAAGGCAGCCAUCUGGCCUAACACUGACGCUCACGUGCGAAAGCAUGGGGAGCAAACAGGAUUAGAUACCCUGGUAGUCCAUGCCGUAAACGAUGUCUACUAGCCGUUGGGGCCUUUGAGGCUUUAGUGGCGCAGCUAACGCGAUAAGUAGACCGCCUGGGGAGUACGGUCGCAAGACUAAAACUCAAAUGAAUUGACGGGGGCCCGCACAAGCGGUGGAGGAUGUGGUUUAAUUC
rnacentral:rRNA from 1 species